ensembl:lncRNA
GAAGAACGGUGCUUUCACUAUCAGCUCUUAAAGAAAGCAUAUGAGGAAUCAAACUCAGUUGUUCAUCGUAUGAACAAGAUUUCUAAGCAGGAGAACUGACAGCUGAAUGCAGACAGUGCCCUUCUUGUCUUGGCAGAAAUGUUGUCAACAACGUGAUGCAGUGGAUCUGUGUACCCUUAGAGAGGAUUCCUUUGCCCAAAUAAGAACAACUAAAAGCCAGGCAUGACUGCUCUGGGUUCCCUUUGCAGCCCUGAUUUAUUGCAUCCUAAGGAAAUGGACUCGGACUUCGUGUGCUUGUUCCAUGGCUUACUCAGAUAGUCAUGCAGGAGCUGGGAAACAGUAGGAAGGAGCAAGGCAUGGAGCAAAGUAGAGCACACACGCGUACACCUCACUCUACCUGAUUUAACUCUUCAGCUACGAAGAUUUCCCUGCUUGAGAUACGGCACCUAAGGAGGAGUUGGCUUUUGGAUGAGGCCCUUCUCUGGCUGUGUGGAAGUACUGAUCUAAAUCUGCACUGAAGGAGGCAGACAGCUACCACAAGAGGUAACGAAGCUUCUCCGUACCUCAGUUUCGGAACUGGAAUGAGCAAGGCAUUCACACCACACUUACCACAAGUUUUGGGAAAGGUCAUUCAUUCAUUUUCUUCUGCCACCCAAAAUUUUAUUACACUACAUCAGCAAACUGACAGUUGAACAGGUGACAGUUUGUCUUGGGAUAGAUGACAUCACUCUGCUCUUGUUGGUUCCAAAUUUGUUCCCAUAACACCUGGGUGCGCACUGAGCCCUUACAGACACUGCUAGUCAGUUGCCAAAGAAGAGGAGCGUAUCUGUGAGAUAUGCUUGCCUUCACAGCUCAGUUUCAGUGAAAUAUCCCAUGCUGCAUAAUAUGAAUAGACACAUCACCCAUGCACUGCUUCUUGAUGCAUGAUUUCAGGUGGUAUAUUAGGUAUAUUCCUUCCCAGGAAUAGUGGUGAUGCAUUGGCACAGACUGCCCGGGGAGUGAUGGAGUCACCAUCCAUGGAGAUGUGGCACUGAGGGAUGUGGUCAGAGGGCAUGACAGGAAUGGGCUGAUGGUUGGACCAGGUGAUCUCAGUGCUCUUUUCCAACCUCCAUGAUUCUAUGAUUUUUCCCAUGAAAAUGUUUUGGCCUUAGCAGGUCUUCAGAUUUUAGACCUUAUAUAUAUAUAUACAUAUAGAAUCACCAAGGUUGGAAAAGAUGCCCAAGAUCAUCUAGUCCGACUGUCCAAUUCAAGCCUCUCUCUUUUUUUCCAGCUAUUCCCUAUAUUACUGACUGCAGUGAUCCUGGAUACAUCUAUUUCGCUAUCAGCUUUGGCCAUGGAGUUUUUAAGAUUCUAAGGGAGUGUCUCCUUGUUGAAGAAGCACUCCCUUCAGUCUUUACUGCUUGCAGAUUUCACUGUGCUGUGAUGAAUUGCCUUGCUCAGCCCUGGAAAAUGAACAUAUUCAUCAGCAUACCUCACGCCAAUAGAUGUUAGUGGCAGUAGUAUGAAAUCCCUAAGGAUGGGCCUUUGCCUUGCUGCAUCCUUCCCUCCUAUUCUAUAAGUUACUCAAAUUAGUUCAUCUUUGAAGGCUCAUCAUUGAUGUCAAUCAGCCAUUUUGCCCAGUGCACCAUUUACAAUAAUCUAUGCUUUUCCCAAACAGUAAAUGGCAAUUGAUAAAGCAUUAAUUUUCCCAUGCAGCAUUCUCCCUGUGUUGAGAAUACCACUGGAAGCCUCCAAGAUUCUGCAUGGCUCCUCUGGCCUGUGCUGAUGUGCUGGCAGCUACUGCACGUUACAGCUGUAAGUGAUGGCUGUUCUGCUUUUGCCUUCUCAUUUAUACAGCCCCUUUGCAAUGUCAGAAAUCCCCGCUGUGACCUAAAGGAUUUCUCUUUGCCAAAAAAGAGCCCUCCUCUCUGGUACAGUGUUACGAUUGCUGUUUUCUCUCCCUCUUUUAUUAAAAAAAAAAAAAAAAAAAAAAAAAAAAAAAACCCUCUCUGUGAUCUGACACAAGCUCUGGCAAUGUGUGCUGCAGAAGUUCAGAUGUUACCAGAGCCAGCUGUCCAUCCCCUUUGCCAAAAAUUCAUUUCCCAGAGCAGAGUCAGCAGAAGAGAAUACACACCCAGUCCCCAGCAGCCUCAGGGUAAAGCCCAGCUUCAGCUGAAACUUGUCUGGCCAUGACUUUAAUGAUAGGCAGCAGUUCUGAUUAGUAAAUGAUCACAUUGAUUAACAUUCCUUCACUCCAGUCCUAUGGCUGGGUCAUGUAUGCAGACUGUGCAUUGCCCUAACUGUUAUCCCCACCCUCUUCCAAUGUAUCUGGGAGAUGUCUCAGCAGACUACCUAGAUUAGUUGGCUUUUAUCCACUGAAGAUUUCCUACUCUUCUAUUAAGUGGCUUUUUAAGGUGUUAAUCACAGAAUCAUAGAAUCAUAGAAUGGCCUGGGUUGAAAAGGGCCACAAUGAUCAUUGAGUUUCAACCCCCCUGCUAUGUGCAGGGUCGCCAACCACCAGACCAGGCUGCCCAGAGCCACAUCCAGCCUGGCCUUGAAUGCCUCCAGGGAUGGGGCAUCCACAGCCUCCUUGGGGCAACCUGUUCCAGUAUGUCACCACCCGCUGGGUGAAAUCCUGGUUAAUCUUUGGUUUGCCUUAUGUCUGCAUAAGGCAAACACUCAGGAAAAAUGUCAGUACAAUCACUCAGGAAAAAUGCUUUAUGUUGGAAUCAUAGAAUCAUAGAAUCGCUAAGGUUGGAAAAGACCCACAGGAUCAUCCCGUCCAACCAUUCGCCCUUCACCAAUGGUUCCUGCUAAACCAUGUCCCUCAACACAACAUCCAAACGCUCUUUGAACACCAGAACAAAGUAAUCAAGUCAGUGAUACCAGUCUGUUAAAGAGAACCCCUGCUCGUGUAAACAAGAGGAAUACUGGUGGUGUGAGAAGAGCAAAGUGCAUCGUAUCAGUCAAAACUAUAGGCUCGCUGACUUCAAAACCGGUUGUCCUCUUUUAUUUUAAUAAUCAUAAGAGACUGAUAGUGUCCUAACAUCAGAUCCAGAGGUUUCUGCAAGAUUACCAUGGAGGUUAUAGAACCAAUGGAAGACUUGAAGAACAAAUGGAAGCUUUGCAGAUGUUUGUAUUGCCAAAAAGGGGUAUUUAAUGAAAAAGUAUUGCCGAGGACAGUUGUUUAAUGAGAAAACCAACAUUUUCUGCUGUACUUAUAUAAAGAGUGUGCUUUUAUGGUCCAAAAUGUAAGAAAUCUGACCCUUUUUUCUUUUAUCACUGCAUAGGACACAAAGCCUUGAUGCUGACAGAGGUUGCAUGUGGUUUUGCUGCAGGCCAGCAGUCAGCCCCAGCGAUACCAUCCAGCCCUGCCCUGCUGCCGACCUUUCCUGCCACUUCUCACUUUUCAUUUGUUUGCUUUCUUUAUCAGCCCUGACCCUUGUCAAUACAAAGCACAGAACUGGGUGUGUGGGAGUUAGGGAGGAGGCUGCAGCCCUCUGUGAACUGUUAUUUUCGGACAGAGAUUGGCUGCAGUCAUUUAUCCCUUGCCAAAGAGUUUAAAAACGGCACGCUUGCUGAUCCAGGUGAUUUUACGAGGAGGUGGUGCCUGCCAUUUCCCAUCACAGCUGCUGAUUGCUAAUCAUACAGCUGAUAUACUGCGGACAGCUGAGUUAAAGGGAAUUCCCGUAAGAGCCUCAUGCCAUACAGAUAACAGUUUCUUUAAGAGCCUGAAAAUUCUCAGACAGGUGAAUUUUUCCACUCCAGGUUGGAUGGGGCCAUGGGCAGCCUGAUCUAGUGGGUGGCAACCCUGCCCACGGCAGUGGAGUUGGAACUAGAUGGUCUUUAAGGACCCUUCAACCCAAGCCAAUCUAUGAUUCCCUGAUUCUGUGAUUCCUCUUACUACAGUUCAUGUUAGUGGCUUGGCUGUUAGGAAGAUAAUCCUUGGGAUUAGGGUGAGGACAGAGUCAUACAUAAAUAUAGCAAAUGGAAAACGCUCCACUUGUCAUUCAUAAAGCUCUCCUUCUAGGAACGGAGGGGAUGGCUGCCGGUCACAGAGAGCAGGGCAAACAUGUCUCCUCUGUGCAGUUUGGUGUUUUUUUCUGAUUUUGUAGUAGUCAGAAACUGCAAUUUUUUUGAAGUCGCCUUUUCACACAUCUAAAUGAAACCUUAAAAAUCAGUUUGGCUAAGAAGGUAAUGAGUAUGAAGUAUAAAUUAUCAUCCUUCAUUAGAAGCUUUUCACCCUGCUUUAUCCCUUCAUCGUAUAGACUCAUGUUGCCAUAGAAGAAGCAGCAAUGUCAGAACAUGACUUAAAAUAAUUCCACUGAUCAAGUGUUAAUUGCACUCUUGUACAAUCAAAGCAGACUGCUCAGGAACACGUUAAGCUUACCUUUGUGACAGUAAAUCAUUGCCAAACCCUCCUUUGGCCAAACUCUUCUGCAAACACUGUUAUAACAGUAAACAUUUUAUUGGCUCAGAGCUGGAAGGGACCAUUAAAACUCUGGUUACCAUAAAUUGUGACAUUUCUUGCACAGCAGCUGUACAUGUACAUGUUCCCAUUGCCACGGCAGAUGCAAGAGUGAAGUGGGUUAACCCAACUGUCUGCUCGCCUCAAGGUAACUCAGAAUGCUGCAGCGUAUUUUCACUUGUAAUUAAGCUGCCUCAAACUGCCCUCAGAGCAGCAGUGAUCGGGGAUGCGAUGGAUGCUUCAGGUGGCACAAUCAUUUUACCCCUCAGUAACCUGUGUAAUGGCUUUUGUUCAUGGUCUGUGUCUUUGAUCGCCUUCUUGACUUCUUUAAUAUCACAAGGCAUUAUCAGGAUAUUUCAUCAUUUUGCGGGUUGCAAAGUCUCACUCAGCACCAUUUUAUUAAUCCAUAGUGUUAAUGGAGUCUUUCAAUGGCAAAGAGUUUUCCAGCAAAAAUAAGGGAUCAGGACGGGCUUGUGGCCCAUUACUAGAUGCAAGGUCAAUUGUGCUCCUUCAAACGACAAUCUGACUUCUAAGGAAAAAGAUUAUGCCCAUACUUUCACCGUGUUAGAUGUAAAAAUGUACUCUUGCACUGUACUGAGAACUAUUUUUGCAUUAAAAAUGACUAAAAUGUGUAGCUGCACCACAGCAGCAUUCUAGUCCUAUUGGAGCUAAUUGUGAAACCUGUAAUGCCUUCUAGCAGAGGAAGAUCAAAACGUAUGCAUAUAAACAAUACAGUGUUUAAAUAAAUCCAAGUUAUAAGCAUAUGUUUCACUAUAAAUUGAUUCUGUUGAUCUUAGAAAUCAAGAUGUCAAAUAAUGUGUUUUCCUUUCUGUACUGUCCAUUACUCUUCAGGUAUUUAGACACUGAGGGUCAUGCACAUGCAUUACAGGGUUAAUGCCAUGCUCAGGCCAUUAAUAGUAAGAUGGCAAGAAAACAGAAGAAAAAAAAACACCAUUUAUGUGAGACAAGACAGGAGAAUUUAUUGACUGAAGUGUCUUUAUCUUCAUGUUCAUUUUUCAUUUUAAGAGGUGUAAGUAUAAACCAUCAUCAUUAUCAUUUAGAACCAAUCAAAGCCAGGAAUGACAUCCAAAGGUCUGAUUAAGGCUUUACUUGCAUGAUGCAGAUGGGUUUUGUCUUGAUGACAGAUAAAUCCCUCACUACUGAAGAAUAACAUCAUGAGAGCAGAAGUCAGGGAAAUAAACUGUGACAAAGAGAGCCAGUGAUAGAUGGCCAAGUGAGCAAGGGACUGACAGCAAGGACAUAUGGAUCCAGUUCUCAGCUCCAUCACUGUCUGAGUAUGUGACCAUGAACAAGAAGCCUGUGCAUAUUCCUUCAUCUGGAAUGUCCAUCAGACAAUAUGGACUUAGCACAAGAGCACGUUAGUAUUCCAGAAAAAGAUUUUGAAAUUUACCUCAUGGGACAGGCUGCAGUACUGAAGAUUUUUAAAGCCAUACAGGAAUUGGUGGUCUUGGGAUCAUCUGUGGCUAUUGGUCAGUUACCUGAUGUCUUGUAUUUGUUAGAGGUGAACAGAAGGAUUCUGUGACACUGCAUCCAGAGUUGACAUGUGAAUCCUUGUGGACUGACGAUCAAGUAUACAAUUUCUUGUAGCUGGGAAAGGUUGGCAUGAUGCCUCAUCCUGGAAGCAUUCAAGGGUUGAUGGGGCUGUGAGACAACCUGGUCCAAAGGGAGGUGUCCCUGUCUAUAGCAGGGGUUGGAAGUAGAUGAUCUUAAAUGUUCCUUCCAACCCAAACCAUUCUAUGAUUCUAUGAUCUUUGUAGAGCCUUCAAACCCCACUCGCUGUGUAUGCUGAAUAUAUUGAACCCAUACCUUCCUAGAAUCAUAGAACUUAUUGGGUUGAAAGGGACCUUAAAGCCCACCCAGUUCCAUGGGCUGGUUGCCCCCCACCAGCUCAGGCUGCCCAGGGUCCAUCCAACCUGGCCUUGAGCACCUCCAGGGAUGGGGCACCACAGCUCUCUGGACAGCAGUGCCAGGGCCUCACCACUGAGUAAAGAAUCUCUUCCUAACAUCUAAAUCUCCCUUCUUUUGGUUUAAAGCCAUUCCCCCUUGUCCUCUCACUAUCAGACCAUGUAAAAAAGUUGGUCCCUCUCCUGCUAAUAAGCUCCUUUAAAUACAGGAAGGCUACAGUGAGAUCUUUCCGGAGCCUUCACUUCUCCAAGCUGAGCAAGCCCAGAACUUCUGCCUUGAGUAAAUGUUUAUCUAGAAUGCAUGUACUUUACCAUAUAAGCAACACUACAGAUACUCUCUCUCUAUACAUAUAUGCAUCUUUAUGUAUGUUUUAUUCAGCAACAUGGACAAGAAUACUACAGCAGAUGAAGAUGUUGUUGCCUUACGUAUGAGGAGCUCACCAUAACUAACUGUGGUCCAUUGGGCUCCAGAAUCUUCUACUACACUUAGUUUUUCUUGCCACUGUUUGUAGUAGGGAAAGGUCUUGAUCAAAUUCAUGGCCCCUAUUGUGGAAAGUCUUCCUGUGCCACAAUGAAUUUAAAUGAAAGUCUGCAUGAAUAGCUAGUAUACAGUCACUGCAAAAUGGAACAAACCAGCUGCACAAUGCCAAGAAUUUCAGGCAUGUGGUUUGGAAAACACUACAAUGUACGUUUAUAGCUGCAGCUCAAUUCAUUUCCUGAGAGGAAAGAUAAUGCUGUAGAAGAAUAGACACUAUACGGUCCCUCUUUAUGUGGCAUUCAUCCGUUAGAAAGUUUAUUUCAUUGGCUUCUUGUAGAUGUCAAACUGCUAAACGCAAGGCUGCAGCACAAAGAAAUUUCUUAAAUUACUGGGGGAAUAAAUUAGCUCUUAUAACAUGCUUUGAAAUUUCAAUUGCGUUCUGUAGCAAAAAGCAAGUCCCCGAGUGUGUAUAGAAUCCCAUUCCACGGACCAUUGUUUCCUUCCUGCUGCUGAAAAAUAGCUUAAAUAAAAUCCUACGAGUUUAA